UUCUAAUAGCUAAUUUGUAGCGCAAAAUAAAGCAGAUAUUAGGGAGGAAAGUUUCUUUAAAAU
rnacentral:tRNA from 1 species